CGUUAUCAAUCCACAUAUAUAUGCUUUUAAUAGCAAAACGUCAGAUACAAUUAAAUUGAAAAAUCAAAUUCAAACCAUAUAAUAAAAAAAACAGAAAUGCCAAAAAAAGUGAUCACAAGGCGUCAACGCAAAGCUGCAGAGUUCAGACUAAAGGCCAACGAAGAAGCAAAUGAGAAUAAUGCGCCCAGGAUCAAAGGAGACACGCCGAUUUCCUUAAUCCCACGUUCGACUAAUUUACCUAACGUAAAAGUAGCAUACCCAAAGAAAGAAGAUAAAUGUAUCUCCUUGACGACUUUAGAUGUAAAGGAUGAGAAGCCCAAAACUCCAUCUUCAGAACAACCGUUUGGCGAAUCUAAAGAGGGCAUUAAGCGCUGUGAUGCUCUGCAAAAAAUUCGGUUAACUAGUCACAAGAAAACUUUUUUGUCGGAGGUAAAAAAGAAGGCUUUGAAUUCGGAACAAUUCGAAAAUACAAGUUCAUCCGAAUUUACUACACUGCUUCCAAGGAUAAACAAUAAAGCGACCCCUAAAACUCAAAACUCUAGAGUGCCGUUGAUGUCCAAAAUUUGCGAACAAAUUAAGACGCAUUUGCACUCUGUUUUGCCAUCACGAAACCUCGGUCCAAAACCCCGAAUCCCGGCGGAAAAAGUAGCAGAGCACAGUCCAGAUUUGCAGUUUACACGAAAAGUUUUUAAUAGCUCGGAGGAUAUAUUUAAAACUGGUGGAGACUACGACCACAAAGUAGCAUGCUUCAAGUCAGCUGAGCUUCCCAAAGAUCCAGGACCGCCUAUGAAGGUUUUCGGAAACGCCGGUUUCAUCGUCCUUACUGGCACCAAUGCUCAGUUGGCUUUACAGCUCGGCGAACUUGCGACCAGAGGCGUUGGUGUACAAUCAUGUAUACGUCUGCCAAACGAAAUGAUGGACAAGGUGGAGCAACAGCUCGGUAAACUGGAAAAGGAGCGCGAAAAAAUCCUCAAUAAAAUGCAUAACAAACAUGCAACACUUGCACAAGGACUAGCUCAGCGAGAGAAAAAACAAAGCAAUACUAUAAAAAUGUUCGGAGAAGAAAAAAAACUUAAAAACCACUUUAAUGGGUGCAUGCCUAGACUGACAAAUUAUCAACACGCCCUGUUAGUAUAGUAUACCCUUUACUGUGCGAGGUACGGGAUUGAAAUAUGAAAUUUUUGCGCCUUGCUGAAUACUUGAUUUAGAGAAAUCUUCAGGAAUUGACCUGAACUUAAAACACAAUAGUUUCAGGCAAAGACUUCGAGAGCCAACAAUAACAAACAUUCUCACACACCGAUGACGAUGGAAAUAAAGCAGUAGCAGCACAUGUUUGCCCCAACCACGUGUAUGUGUAUGUGAGCCCGCGUUGGCGAGUGUGCGUGCAAAUGCCGCCACGCCAUGUGCUUUUGAUUUUGUUUCUGGGCGAACAGCAAUCGAAUUGAAUACUAAACGCAGCUCAGCGGAUUCGCUAUCCAAUUAGCAAUGAGCAAACUGUGGAACGCGCCGAGUAAUGCUACCUUCUUAACUUCCUCCGUGGUUCCGGAUCUUAUUCUCAUAAAGGGCUUUUCUAGCCAAACGCUUGAUCCUAUUGUUGCCGCCGUCUGUUUGUCCGCCUGCUUUAAC